rnacentral:rRNA from 1 species
GACGAACGCUGGCGGCGUGCCUAAUACAUGCAAGUAGAACGCUGAAGGAGGAGCUUGCUUCUCUGGAUGAGUUGCGAACGGGUGAGUAACGCGUAGGUAACCUGCCUGGUAGCGGGGGAUAACUAUUGGAAACGAUAGCUAAUACCGCAUAAGAGUAGAUGUUGCAUGACAUUUGCUUAAAAGGUGCAAUUGCAUCACUACCAGAUGGACCUGCGUUGUAUUAGCUAGUUGGUGGGGUAACGGCUCACCAAGGCGACGAUACAUAGCCGACCUGAGAGGGUGAUCGGCCACACUGGGACUGAGACACGGCCCAGACUCCUACGGGAGGCAGCAGUAGGGAAUCUUCGGCAAUGGACGGAAGUCUGACUGAGCAACGCCGCGUGAGUGAAGAAGGGUUUCGGAUCGUAAAGCUCUGUUGUAAGAGAAGAACGAGUGUGAGAGUGGAAAGUUCACACUGUGACGGUAUCUUACCAGAAAGGGACGGCUAACUACGUG